rnacentral:lncRNA from 1 species
GUCUCUCUCGACUUCUCCUUCCACUCUUCCAGUUCCAGUUCAGUCCGUCUCUAUCGACUUCUCCUUCCACUCUUCCAGUUCCAGUUCAGUCUUCCAGAUUUCCUCUUCGCGGAUUUUUCAAGCACUCUUUGUACGUGGGCAGCUGGGCUUCAUCUGACAUCUUGCUUCUGUCGACUGUCGAGUGGCUAGGCAUUUUUGUUGUCGAACGAGUGAGUUCGAGACUUCGAGUUCCCUAGGGAGUUCAACUCUUUUACCAUUUACUCAUUAUAAUUUUGAAUCUUUGAUGCUUGAUUUUAAUUGAUAAAUGGUCUUUUUCUAUUUUAUGUGGGCCGUGGGGCAUACUGUAUAAUGAGGUUUACUUGAUGGCUGGGCUUCAUCUGAUAAUAUGCAUAGUGUAAGGUUUACUUUCUUGAAAAUGCACAGACAUGAGAGACAGAGAGGUUUCUUGAGUCUAUCCAGUUAUGCAAGAAUUUCAAAAAAAAAUUCCGCUAGUUAAGUCAAGUGAAUUCUUGAUGAGGUCUAUCCAGUCUUGCCAAUCAAUCAAGUGAAAAAUGAUUUUUCUUGAAGAUGCUUGAGGUACUGCUGCUUGGAGGAAUAGCAGCUUGAAGGUUUGUGCCACAUUGUUUCCACAUUCUUGACUUUUUAGUGAAAUCUUAUUUGGUAUGAACUACCAUUGCCAUAUUAUAUAUCAUCAUCCAUAUGAAGCUUAACUGUCAUUAUUUGAUUAAGGUCUUCAUCUAGUGACCAUGAUAAAGUACAUUCUAACACUCGGCAACCUCAUAGUGUGUGUUGGAAGUUCAAAAAUACUCUGGUCAAGAUCAUCAAGCAGCCUCUAGAGAGAAUAUUCUGUAAAGGACUCAUAUUAUGCACCUAACAAAACAGUAAGCAUAUAGAUGCAAGAAACUUCACAAAAAUGUCUCACAUCCAAACUGAACGAAAACAAUCAACAUUACCCUGCUGAAUUUUGCUAAUUAUGUAAACUGAAAUGUCUGCGGAAUGCGACCAGUUAAUUUAUUAUAGGACAAUCUUAACAAAGUGAGUGAUGACAACAUCCCAAAAAAAUCAGGAACUUGCCCAACUAUAUUGCAACUUGAACAAGAAAAAUUCACCAACUGCGAAGACUCCGGUAGAUCACUAGGUAUGGACCAUCCACUGGUUAAAGGGAUUAUUAUCCAACGUUUCCAUUGAGUUUGUUGUUCUGAAGUCCAAGAUUCUGAAGCUUAUCCAACUGAUUAAAUUCUGAGGCAAAGGUCCCUGUAGACCAAGUCCCUUAACCUGAAUCUGUGUUACUCUGCCGUUUUGUGAAUAUAACAACUAACAAGUUUUUAUAACUAAUGCAAUAACCAAUGAAUAUCUGAAAUGUUAAUUUUAAGAUCCAAAUUUUCUGAAUAAAGGAAAUAUGAUUAUGUCCUGGAGCUAUACAUCUCUAUUAAUUCUAGUUAUAAUUGUAAAUUUAGCUUUUAUUUGGGUUGUCAUUAACUGCGUAGAAAUGGCAUUUUUAUUGUUAUCUUUUCAAAAAAUUUGAAUUUAACAUCAUAAUCCAUACCUUGCACUCUUUAAGAGCUUAAUAUUGGUAAAGAACAAUGAACUCGCAAUACGUCAUCAGUAAAAUUCUCAAGGAAUAAUCUUACUGUCAACCUCACAUUUCUUCUUCCAAUACACACUAUGAGUUCCAAGCUAGAUGAUCUUGAUCAGAGUAUUUUUGGAUUAUAAUAUGUUAUAUGGAUGGCUGGAAAUAGCAUGGAAUUAUAACCAAUAAUUUUUUUUUCUAGAAAGCCGUAGGUAGGCUUAUAAAAGGGUAGAAUAGCAUAAAAUUAAUGAUUGGAUGAUAGCAUUAAAAAGAAAAAAAAGCCAUGAAUAAUUGUCUUUAUCUGUGAAGGAAUUCGGUCUUGAAUCACAAUAAGAAGCAGGCCACCAGAUAGAGAAUUCCAAGUAAAGAAGCAUUCUCAAAAUUUCCAAAUAAUUGCUCAAACGCUUCCUGGUGAAUGUUGAUGUAGAGCAUCACAUGAAUUAAAAUUUCUCGAAAACAGAAGAGAUGGUGGCCAACGUGUAUGAACCUAUGUUCUAGAAUAAUUUAUGUUAUGCGAAAGCUAACAUUGUUAAUUAUUAUAGAAAAAGUUCAACAUAAGGGCCAGACUUUUAACAUUGCCUAUAAGGGACAAAGAGUGGCUGCACUUAUCAAGGUGAUCAUCUAAGAUUAAUCUUGCAAAUCUAAUUAUGAAAAAAAAAAGAGCUUAAUGUAUAAUGAUAAUAAAUUUUAACUUGCAGAUUUUCAGAACAAUAUAGAGCUAGAGCACAUAAUUUUGUUGAUUGAGCUACUGAAAACAGUAAUUCAAAUAUGAUAGUAGGCCCUUGUGUUAAGUGUAGGAAUCUAAUGCAUCACCAUUAUGAUAUAAUCUACAAACACUUGGUUCUUAAGGGUAUGGAUCUUGCAUACAACGUUUGGAUAUAUCAUGGAGAACAGCCAAAUGAAUCAAAUCUGGUCAAUGUAGAGAUGCCCGAGUCACGUAGGAUGUUUAAGGACUUCUACGCACAAUAUGAUGUAGAUUUUGAAAACCCUCCUAAUGAAGGAGAGAAAGAGCUUGAAAGUUUAGUUGAUGAUGUUGAAACUCCUUUAUAUCCAAAUUGCAAGGCGUUUACGAAAAUGUGAGCUUCUGUUGCUAUGUUCAAGCGUAAAGCUUCACAUGGUUUAUCAGACAGUGGUUUCGAUGAACUCAUAAAUCUUGUUCGAGACAUGCUGCUCGAGAAUAAUACACUUCUAAGCUCAUUUUAUGAGAUAAAAAAACUUGUCAAUACAUUUGAUCUUAGCUAUAAGAAGAUACAUGCUUGCUAUAAUGAUUGUUGUCUAUAUAGAAAAUAGCUUGAACGUGUCGAGAUAUGUCCAAAAUGUGGUUGUCGAAGAUGGAAAGUUAACAAACGGACGAAAAAAAUGGAGAAAAAAGUUCCAGCAAAAGUGUUACGUUAUUCUCCUAUAAUACCAAAACUUAAGAAAUUGUUUGGAAUAGAUGAGAUGACAACACAACUUAGAUGGCACGCAAGUAAUAAAAGUUCAAAUGACAAAAUUAGGCAUCCAGUUGAUUUUGCAUCAGAUUCUCGAAAUAUUAGUUAUAAGUGUGUUUUUACACACUUAUUAGGCACUUUAAUGGGCUAUUUAUUGAUGAAAUUAAAUGAAUUCCUAUUCAUAAUUGUGCAAUUAUGGUGUUUGUAGGCCAAAAUCUGAAAUUGGAUGAGAAAAUGGCUAAAGGAAGGAAAAGAGGACCAAAAGUGCACAAAGACAUGAAUCUAGUGACCAAAGUGUACAAGUGUUGAAAGUUUAAUGAUCAAAUGUUGCAAAUUUUGGAGGGUGUGAUUGAAAGAAAAUUAAAAUUUUGAGGAUUAAAAUGUACAAGUUCAAAGUUGAGGGAUCUAGUGUGCAAAUAUGGGGGAGGACUGAGCUACAAAUAAUGAAAAAUGGGAUGUGGUAUCGUAACAGCGCCACUGUAGCGACGCUACGACGCCACGCCUCUGUCUAUCAUAGCGCUGCAGCAUCGUUUUCAGAGCACCACGGCUAAGGACCUGUUUGCCUAUAUUUUUGUAGUUAGGGAUCAUUUUGCAGUUACAAAACGCGAUUUUUGAGUCAUUUAAAAGGCAAAAUUGAAUUAUUUUUAUCUCAUUCUUCAUCUUAAACAAACCCUAGCCUCGAGGAGAUAAAGAAGAAAGGGAGAAAGGAGAAGAUUCAAACCAAGAUUUUGGAGUUAAAGAGAAUAAUCAAGAUUUCAACCCUAUUUUUAUUCAAGAAAACAUUUAAGGGAAGGGUUUCUUCUUUUAUUUUGUAUCUUUUUAUUAGCUCCUUCAUUUUGUAAUGGAUUUCAUUACAUUCUCCAUGUUUUAUCUUUACUUGAUAAUGGGCUAAGGGUUUAUAGUUGGGAUUUAUGAUGUAACUUGACAUAAGUUUCAUUAAUAUCAAUAUAUUUACCAUUUAAUGCUAAGGUGUCUCAUAAGUGUGUUUUUGCACACUUAUUUAGAUCACUAACAUGACUUAAUUACAAGCAAAAUAUUUAAAUUAUGGUUUAAUCUCGUUGAAUUCAUGCAAUGUAGGUGUUUCUAUGGAAAUUGUGGAAUUCAAGAGAAAAGAGCCGAAAAAGGACCAAAAUGAAUCAAACUGAAAGCUCGAGGACCAAGUUGCAAAUAAUCCAUAGAUGAGACGGGAAAUGGAAUGAAGAUUCAAGAGUGUUAGAG